AACGAACGCUGGCGGCGUGUUUAAGACAUGCAAGUCGCACGGGAUAAGACAUGUAGUAAUACUUGUUUUAUUUAGUGGCGCACGGGUGAGUAACACGUGAAUUACAUGCCCUAUAGUGGGGAAUAGCCCAGGGAAACUUGGAUUAAUACCCCAUGGUAUCGAAAGAUUAAAGGUGGCCGCAAGGCUGUCGCUAUAGGAUUGGUUCGCGCCCUAUCAGCUUGUUGGUGAGGUAACGGCUCACCAAGGCAAUGACGGGUACCUGGUCUGAGAGGACGAUCAGGAACACUGGAACUGAGACACGGUCCAGACACCUACGGGUGGCAGCAGUCGAGAAUAAUUCACAAUGGGGGCAACCCUGAUGGUGCAACGCCGCGUGGAGGAUGACGGUCUUCGGAUUGUAAACUCCUGUCAUCUGGGAGAAAGACCUGACGGUAAAUAGCCGGCAGGGUUGAUAGUACCAGAAGAGGAAGGGACGGCUAACUUCGUGCCAGCAGCCGCCGCGG
rnacentral:rRNA from 1 species